rnacentral:lncRNA from 1 species
GCGUGCGGCUCCGGCGAGCGAUUCCGGCAGCGUGGGCGCGUGAGAGAGAGGGCGAGCUGAGGGGAAAGAAGCGGGGGCGCUCGCUCUUUAUGCUGACGCGGAAGGCAAGCGGCAGGAAGCACGGAGCUGAUGAGGCGGCGGAGAUGGCGCGCGCGGGAUCGGCGGCGUGACGCGCGGCCGGUUUCUCUGCAGAGACGACGACCCUAACAGGUGGGGUCCACGUGCCAGUGGCUCGGUGCGGGCGCGCUUGCGCCUAGGCUGGUUUGGCUCGGGCGGUUCGGGGGAGACUGGGCCGGUUCGGCCCAUUUGGCCGGGCCGGUCUGGUUUUCUCUUCGUUUUUUUUCCUUUUUCUUUUUCCCUUUUUCUUUUUCUGUUUUUCCUCUGUAUCUUUUGAUUUUGAACACCAAAUUGAUCCAAAUAAAUUCCAGAAAAUUUGUAAAAUCAUGUUAUAACAUGAUUCAACUUCUGGGACUAAUUUAUCUUCCAAAUAAAAUAUAUAAAAAUACAUUUGCCCUAUAAAUGCCUUUAGGGCUAUAGAACUAUUUAAAUAAAAUAGUUUUUCAACUCCUAAUAAAUACCCAAAAAAUAUGGGAUAGCUUAUUUAUGCAAUAAACCCCUUUUAUAAAUAAAACUAUUGGUUUAAAAUCCAAAGCUCAAAUGGUGAAAUACUAGGGUUUCAAAAUGAAAUAAAACCUUUUUAAAGCCUUUUUGGAAUUCAAAUUUUAUUCAAAUAUGCAAUUGUGGCAUGAUGCUCAUGAGUGCAAUGCAUAUGAAAGGGUUUGA